GUCCAGGAGGGAUAGCUCAGUUGGUAGAGCGCGAGGCUCUUAAUCUCAGGGUUGUGGGUUCGAACCAUCCUUUGGGUG